rnacentral:lncRNA from 1 species
AAGACAUGCACAAUGGCGUCCUACAUCUUAUCGAAGAAAGCUUCAGCUCCAGGAACAGCACAAACAUGAACUCUCAAGAUACAUUUGAUUAACUCAGUUACAGAUAUCAGCCAUUCUACUACAGAUAACUCAUCGUGCCAAAUAUAGAUCUCGUUGGUACUCGUAGUUGCAAGAGGCCGCAAAUUAUGUGAGCAAAUAUGCGUCUACAGCAAAAAACAUUAUCUGUGCCACUGUUGAUAACAGCUGAGUCAUGAUUACAUAACGAUAGGGAUCAAAGUCUCAUCAUGACCACAAAACACUUACUGGACGCUGUGCAGGCGACUACACGGGGAAGUGCGCUGGGAUAACGCCAGGAUUUGUCCGUUGUUCCAUUCAGUCUUACACUGACAGGCUAUGCAGUAAACUACAGGGCCAAAUGUCAUCUCAGAUACUGAAGACGAUUUGGAGGACCGUGGCUGUACUGUUUAGGUUUGUGACGACAAUUAUUACCGUUAACAUCGGAAGAAUAUGUCCACCGGUCAAACGACGGGUUAUAAGGUAUCUAGACAAAAUCCAUGAAGGUUCCUCAGUGAGUGGAACUGACUCGUAUGAGUCGUUCCUCAACGUGAAAAACUGGAAGCUGAUUCUGGUAGAAUGGUUACUGGAUGCAGGCUCCCACCCUGAAGUGAAUUGUAGAGCUCCCGACGCAGUUGUCUGGUCAGCAGACGGCAAAACCAAACAUCGUCUGCUGGACUUCAUGAAGAAAGGGCGCCCUCUGGUUCUCAACUUUGGAAGCUGUACCUGACCUCCCUUUAUGGCCAAACUGGCCAAGUUCAACGACAUUGUUCAAAAGUAUGGACAUAUCGCUGACUUUCUUCUUAUAUACAUACAGGAGGCCCACCCAACUGACGGAUGGAAUUUGAAUAAUAAUAAGUACCAAAUUGGAACCGCCCAAAGUAUGGACGACCGAGUAGAGGCGGCCGAGAUGCUAAGUGACGAGAAUUUAAGAUGCCCCCUAAUUCUGGAUGACUUAACAGAUGAUGCUUGCAGGAAGUAUGUUUCCCUCCCAGAGCGGCUGUACAUUAUCUUUGAUGGUGUAGUUGUGUUAGCUGGGGGAAGAGGGCCGCUCAUAUACAAUACACAGAUAGUGGACGACUGGCUCAGCGCCUACACAGGGCGCUAGUUCAAACAUGCGCACUCCUACAUCUAGUUUCUUUUUACAGAUCCCAGCGCAUAAUAUUUAACAACUCAUUCCAUUCUCAGCGCUCGGCUGAAUCAGAUUAUUUCAGGUUGUGGUAUGCUAGUCUUCCUAAAUCUCUCUUCGCUAGAUCAGCAUAUACCAUUCUUGAUUAUGCUUGAUGACGUGGAUCAUUGGAGGUCCGACAUAGUGUGGUUCUUCAGACUGUCAUCAGGCCGCUCGGUAAUCGAACGUCUGGUCUCUGAAAGGAACAUAUUUUACAGAACAAUUUCUAGAUUAUAUACAUAAACUAUAUUAUAUAGGAACCAAGAGACUGAAACUGAAGUAAUCUAGACUUGCCACAUAUUCCAGACUUGCACUGGGUAGAGAUUUGUUUCAGGGUCUGUAUGACAGACUAGCCUGGAAUAUUGGUAACUGCGGUGUCACACACACUAAGCAAUAAGGCUGCAGUUUAAACAAUAGGCUACCUAUUAUGCAGGUUUCAUCAACUUAAAAGGCUUACAGUUGUGUCUUCUGUACGCUUUCUGAUGUUAGUUGACAGCACCGCGUAUGACCACGUGAUCGGAAAUACUGGGGUCACGUGUGAUGUCAGGAGAGCUGUCACCUAGGAUCACAACGUGUAAACGAUUGUCUAGUACUGUACCGUUACAGGAUAGUGUGUGCCAAAGUACCAAAUUGGAACCGCCCAAAGUAUGGACGACCGAAUAGAGGCGGCCAUAAUGCUAAGUGACGAGAAUUUAAGAUGCCCCCUAAUUCUGGAUGACUUAACAGAUGAUGCUUGCAGGAAGUAUGUUUCCCUCCCAGAGCGGCUGUACAUUAUCCAAGAUGGUGUGGUUGUGUUAGCUGGAGGAAGAGGGCCGAAAAAAUACAAUACGCAGAUAGUGGACGACUGGCUCAGCGCCUACAGAGGGCGCUAGUUCAAACAUGCGCACUCCUACAUCUACUUUCUUUUCACAGAUCCCAGCGCAUAAUAUUUAACCACUCAUUCCAUUCUCAGCGCUCGGCUGAAUUCAAGAGCUUUGUAGGUGCCUUGAAGGAUGAUUUUGUUUAAUCUUAAUCAGAUUAUUUCAGGUUGUGGUAUGCUAGUCUUCCUGUAUCUCUCUUCACUAAGCAAUAAGGCUGCAAUUUAAACAAUAGGCUACCUAUUAUGCAGGGUUCAUCAACUUAAAAGGCUUACAGGUGUGUCUUCUGUACGCUUUCUGAUGUUAGUUGACAGCACCGCGUAUGACCACGUGAUCGGAAAUACUGAGGUCACGUGUGAUGUCAGGAGAGCUGUCACCUAGUAUCACAAAGUCCAAACCAUUAUCUAGUAAUAUACCUUUACAGGAUAAUGUGUACAUCCAAUAUCAUGUAAAUACUGUUGAACAUGUGAAUGGUAUUAAAAUUCAGAAGUCCCAAA